GGAAGCUGGAGUCAAGUGUUCCUCCUGUUGGACAAAUGCCUCUGGAAUUCCACAAAUUGCUUGGCACAUCUGACAGAGCAGGCAGAAGAAUCCCAGCCUUCGUUUCCUGUACAGUCUGCCUGCAUGGAGCCUGGCUUGGGAGACAUUGCUCCCUGCUUCAGUUGUUCAAGAGUCUACUGGAGAAUCCUGCCCUUUCAAAUGACAAUUUUGCCAGCUGCAUUAACUGGGACAAGAUUAUUGACUGUCUGAGGCAAAGCUUAGAAGAUUUCUGCCCAUGAUUACCUGAAUGCUGUGCAGCUCCUGGUGAAGGAAGGCCCCAGCAUGGAUCAGAGUGUGAGGAGGCAAAAGCUUCGAGUUUGAAAACAUUGAGGAUGCAGUUGCCUAUUUCCAGCACGAUGAGAGAGACACAGCCAAGGACUGGGCUGCUUUAAGAGUAUUUGAUGGAAGGCAAAGCAUUAGGCACUGGUUUCCCUCAAGCAAAGGUGUCCCAUUGCCAUCCCACCAACAGAUGACAACCUGGUGAGCAAUGUCACCCUCAAGCUUGCAAAAGGGAAGAUGGUUCUUCCUGAAAUACCUAUAUUGAUGCUUUA